rnacentral:rRNA from 1 species
CGCCUGGGGAGUGCGGCGCGCAAGGUUAAAACUCAAAUGAAUUGACGGGGGCCCGCACAAGCGGUGGAGCAUGUGGUUUAAUUCGACGCAACGCGAAGAACCUUACCUGGCCUUGACAUCCAGAGAGCUUUCCAGAAAUGGAUUGGUGCCCUCGGGAACUCUGAGACAGGUGCUGCAUGGCCGUCGUCAGCUCGUGUCGUGAGAUGUUGGGUUAAGUCCCGUAACGAGCGCAACCCCUAUCCCUGGUUGCUAGCAGGUAAUGCUGAGAACUCCAGGGAGACUGCCGGUGACAAACCGGAGGAAGGUGGGGAUGACGUCAGGUCAUCAUGGCCCUUACGGCCAGGGCUACACACGUGCUACAAUGGCGCGUACAGAGGGCUGCCAACUCGCGAGAGUGAGCCAAUCCCUUAAAACGCGUCGUAGUCCGGAUCGGAGUCCGCAACUCGACUCCGUGAAGUCGGAAUCGCUAGUAAUCGCGAAUCAGAAUGUCGCGGUGAAUACGUUCCCGGGCCUUGUACACACCGCCCGUCACACCAUGGGAGUGGAUUGCACCAGAAGUAGUUAGUCUAACCUUCGGGAGGACGAUUACCACGGUGUGGUUCAUGACUGGGGUGAAGUCGUAACAAGGUAACCGUA